ensembl:lncRNA
AAGUUCCCAGAAGUUCCUCAAAGUUCUUCAAACUUGACCAAAAAAUUCCUCAAACUUGGCCAAAAGUUCCCCAAAAAAUCCCCCAAAAUUCCCCAAAGUUGCCCCAAAAUCCCCAAAAAUUCCCGCCAUGAUAAAUUUGGGGACUUUUCCAGGAUUUUGGGGUCGAUCCUGAAACAUUUCGGGGCCGUUCCCAGAGUUUGGGGUCACCCAAAAUUGGGGGAUCCCCUCCCCCCACCCCCCUUUUCACNNNNNNNNNNNNNNNNNNNNAUCCCCAAAAAAUCCCCCCAAAAUCCAAAAAAAUCCCAAAAAUCCCCAAAAAAUCCCCAAAAUCCAAAAAAAAAAUCCCCAAGAAAUCCCCAAAAUCCAGAAAAAAUCCCCAAAACCCAAAAAAAAAAAACUAGAAAAAAAUCCCCCAAAUCCCAAAAAAAAAUCCCCAAAAAAAUCCCCAAAACGCAAAAAAAUCCCCCAAAUCCCCAAAAAAUCUCCAAGAAAUCCCAAAAAUCAAAAAAAAAAACCCAAAAAUCACCCCAAAAAUCCCCCCCAAAUCCCCAAAAUUUAAAAAAGAAUCUCCAAAAAAUCCCCAAAAUCCCCCCAAAAAAUCCCCAAAACCCAAAAAAAUCCCAAAAAUCCCCCCAAAAUCCCCAAGAAAUCCCAAAAAUCCAAAAAAAAAUCCCCCAAACCCAAAAAAUCCCCAAAAAAAACCCCCAAAAAUCCCCAAAAUCCCCCCAAAAAAUCCCCAAAAUAAAAAAAAAAAUAUCUCCAAAAAAUCCCCAAAAUCCAAAAAAAUCCCCAAAACCCAAAAAAAUCCCCAAAAUCCCAAAAAAAUCCCCAAAACCCAAAAUAUCCCCAAAAAAAUCCCCAAAAUUAAAAAAAAAAUCUCCAAAACCCAAAAAAAUCCCCAAAAUCCCCAAAAAAAAAACCCAGAAAAAAAUCCCCCAAUCCCAAAAAAUCCCCAAAAUCAAAAAAAAAUCCCCAAAAUCCCCCCAAAAAAUCCCCAAAAUAAAAAAAAAAAUAUCUCCAAAAAAUCCCCAAAAUCCAAAAAAAUCCCCAAAACCCAAAAAAAUCCCCAAAAUCCCAAAAAAAUCCCCAAAACCCAAAAAAAUCCCCAAAAUCCCAAAAAAAUCCCCAAAACCCAAAAUAUCCCCAAAAAAAUCCCCAAAAUUAAAAAAAAAAAUCUCCAAAACCCAAAAAAAUCCCCAAAAUAAAAAAAAAACCCAGAAAAAAAUCCCCGAAUCCCAAAAAAUCCCCAAAAUCAAAAAAAAAUCCCCAAAAUCCCCCCCAAAAACCCCAAAAUACCAAAAAAAAUCCCCAAAAUAA